rnacentral:rRNA from 1 species
GUGACCAGCGGAGGGAUCAUUACUGAGUCAUGUGCUCAAACAACCCUUCUGUGGACCUGAAUUAAACCGUUGCCUCGGCGGGCGGUCCCCUGCCAAAACCCACGUGGUUGUGGACAGAGGACCAGACAGUCCGGCACGCUUAAGGCGUCCGGCGCCAGCCGCUGGCCCUAACCAAUUAAACUCUAGUAACCUUACCUUCUGAGUUUUAAUACAAAAAAAAUAAGUCAAAACUUUCAACAACGGAUCUCUUGGCUCUGGCAUCGAUGAAGAACGCAGCGAAAUGCGAUAAGUAAUGUGAAUUGCAGAAUUCAGUGGAUCAUCGAAUCUUUGAACGCACAUUGCGCCCGCUGGUAUUCCAGCGGGCAUGCCCGUUCGAGCGUCAUUUUAAUCCCUUCCCGGGAGACUCUUCUAUUCUGUAGUGGAGUCCUGCGGGGCGUUAGCACUGGGCGCCUGAUUUUUUUUUAGGCGGCCGGAGCCGAAAUGAAGCGGCGGACUCGCGGCGGCCCCUAGCGCAGUAGAACAACCCUUCUCGCUUAGGAGAGCUGCAGCGGUGGACCACAGCCCUACACAUGCAUGCUUUUUAAAAGCUACAUGUAUAUAAAAAACUUGACCUCGGAUCGGGUAGGACUACCCGCUGAACUUAAGCAUAUCAAUAAGCGGAGGAA